AAUUUCUCCAGGCAGGAGUGGGACGUCAUCUUGCCCCUCCCCAGAGCCCUGCAGGCGCAUGGGAGUAGCUCAGUGCCGGCGCAGCUCUCUGAGCAAUAACAACGCUUGGGAGGUUCGAGUGUUGAUAACAGCUCUCCUGUCUCCUGGGGCCCAAGGUUCGGUCUCACGGUCCCGGACCGGUGAGGGACAAAAAGGAACUUGUGCUAUUCCUGGAAAAGCUUCUGUUAUUCCUUGUGCAGCCUUUUAAUUCUGUGUUCUGAUGGACUGUCCGCUGUCUUUCUAACGAGACUUGUCAGAGAUUCAGAUUUAGGAAUUGAAUUUGGGUCCGUUCACUUCAGGAUCUUGCCAAGCCUGAAGGCCUGGGGCGAUGACUGCUCUCAGCGAGGGCUCUUUAUGAAUCCUCUGUCAGAUUUCCCUCAGUGCUGGGCAGGAAAGGCGAGGGUUUGGAUCAGGAAUUCUGCAAGCGGGGCCUGUGUGACCGUUGGCUUCUUGUGUGUGUGUGCAUCAGUGAGCCAAAAUCAAGAGCAAAGGCUGGUUUGGUUUUACGAACUUAGAGUAACUUUAAAAAAAAGUAAUCAACUUUUUCUUCUUUUUUAAUUUAGGUGCUGGAAUUUCCUGUCUGGACGCGUGCUGAGCUCUCGCUGCUGUGGACUGUGCAGCCUUAAUUGCUGCAGGUUCCUGUUCUUCUCACCAGCUCAAAGUCACCGGCGAGCCUGGGACAAGACCUGAGCCAGAACUUGUUGGGCCCUUGCAGAGAGAGAAGCAGUAAAUGGUGUUGGAGAGUUUUUGGGAGUGCUGUCGGUCCCCGAGGCGGCUUCGGAUCUCCGCGGUCACCGACGCUGCCGAUUUUCCCGGCGCGCGCCGUUCGACGUCGAGGAGCGGCAUCCAGAAGCUGUGUCGGAGCAUCUUCCUGGCUGGAAUGUUUUGAGUAAGGGCUGCAGUCAGGGUGUAAGCUGAAGGGUGUGUGACUGUGUGUGUGUGUGACUGUGUCUGUCUGCCUGCGAGAAGAGUGCGGGUGUGGAAUGGUUCUGACCUUGUGUGUGGGAGUUUUGCCUUUCAGCUACUUUUUAAACUUAGAGUAAAAACAACCCAGCUGCGCUGGCUGGGGAUUUUUUCCCUCCCGGCUGGGUUUUUUUAUCUGGGACCCGGCCGGUCUGUGAGGUGCCGUUCAUCGCCAGGGUUUGGGUGCCGACCGUGCCGGGGAUUUGUCAGGCGGGAUGAUUUUGGGGCUCCCGGGAACCGCGUUCCCAUGGGGCGCUCUCGAGACGAGAGCGAGGGUGGGUUUGUGUGUCAGCUGAAGGAGGCGUGUGGUGGAUGAGUGUUUUCUUCUCCAUGUGCUGCUGUUGUUUUGGGUUUCCUGGAACAAUAAAAUGUCCUAAAUUUUCCAGAAAUAGAACAAUUGUUACAUUGUACUGAUAGGGGGUUGGCUUGUGUUGCUCUGUGUUCGUGUUUGCUGCUGCACUUGCACAUAUUGCUCUGUAUGUCAAUUGGACUUUGACCAGGGUGCAUAUGGAUUGUACUUGUGCUUGUGUACAUUGUUGUUUCCACUUGCUUUGGUGAAGUGUAAAUAAAAAACCCUCGUUCAAUCAAGCUGAAUAAACCCUAAUAAAGAUACCCCCCCUCCCCCCUU